CUCCCCAGAAGCCAGGGGAUUUUCUAGGUGUAUGGGCUGGCAUAUCUUGAAAACGUGUUUUUCUACUGCAACGUACCGUCAAUACUUCUUGGGCUCACAUGCAGUUUAAAUUGCACCGGUGAGGACCAUGCAGAUUCAUCACACUUCUGUGCUUAGUAAAAGGCAUUGAGGGUUAGACUACUAGCAGCAGUCUGUCUCCUGUUUGCAGUCAGUUAUCAGGAAAUAAAUGAUCACCACAUAUGGACGUGCAAAAGAAGAAAAUAGCUGGUGGGUGAGUCCAGCAGACCUUUUAUCUCUUGAGGUCAUUGAUUGAUUUGCUAUGCUGAAAUUCACAUGAAUUUUAUUCCUUCACCACUUUCCAGUAAGAAGAACAGCAGAAUGGUUGGGAAGGAAAAAGGAGAAGGAAUAGGGAAGGAGAAGAAGAGCAAGGAAUGACCAAAAGGAGUAUGCUUGCUAUUUGCCAGAGAAAGCUUAGCAGUGGGAAUUGGAGGUGCUUUAGCUGCACUGAAAAUGAUCUGUUCCCACCUUCAGGGAGGGGACGGCAAAGGCUGAGUGAGAAGAGAUCAGCCCCAGGGCAAGCAGUGGGUGUGUUGUCUCUAGGUACAGGGAGCUCUGCUGGGUUUGGAGGCACAGUCUGUCUGCUGAGGGUGGCAAAAGGAAAGUGUCUCUUGGAGAACUCUGAGACCUCCAAAGCUUAGAAGCAUAACAAAAAAAGUCCCUCUGAUUUUGGAGCACUGGAGCCAUAGAGCUUUCUGAGUUUUCUCCAUUAUUGUGAAGAUGUGGAAGGUCCUUCUGGUUUCCAAGAAAAUCUGGGACUCUUGCAGCUUCCCUCCAGGAUCUUGCGCCCCUAUCUCCUGCCCCAAUUCCAAACCCAGUCUGCCAAGUAUCUCAAGACUUUCAAUUAAAUCUGUUGUAAGUAUAUUUGUGAUCACUGGCAACAUGGCGUCACUGGAAGAGCUCCUACUCCCGUAGCUGAAGGAUUUGGGUGCCCUCUGUAUUUCACAUCUGCACUGAUGUCCAUGGCAUAGUUUACUUGCUUUGUAAAAUAAUGUCUUAUUUGCACAGUAACCUCAGCUACGGAAUGAAAAUGUCUUCUCUGGCCCAAAUUGUGAGCUAUUAUAAAUCUGACAGAACCCAUGCUAGAGGUGACUGCACUUCAGUGGUGGGAAAAGUGAUUUUAAUUUUGUUCUGGCACUGUUCCCAUAAACGAAACUUCUAUAAUAUUUCUCUUUGAGAUACAUAGGAGUUUUGCCUCCUGUGAACCUUCAGCGUAAGGUCAUCAUUUUGUAAAACACUAAAAGAAUGACUGAGGUGAGUGCUAGAAUGAGGUUUGUUUGCCAAAGAUUUUUUCUGUCUUUAUGUUUGGUUUCCCUUGAGAUGAUGAGAGUUGACUUUUGCACCUAACACUUGAAUCUUUUUCAAAACUGGCUGUGCUCGGUAGGACUCACUUGUAGAAUUACAUCACUGAUGAGCAUUUUUGAUAUAUUGUUUAUUCCACUGUGUAUUUCUAGCCUAAUGAGUUAUAACUUUGCUGCUAAUUAGGUAUGCCACUGGCUGAAAUUUAAAAUCAAAAUCCUUUCCAGGGCUGUAGCUAGCAUUAAGCAUCAUAAUGUCAUAAAUAAGUGUAAGCAGAGUUUGUGCUGCUCCUGCACCUGUGGGGACUUCUGCUUGCCACUCUGUGGGCCACUGUCUGAGCCAGAAUAGUUGUUUGUAUGGCCACAGAGGAAACUGGGAAAGGAAACUGAUGCAAGUGAAACAGAAAUCAGGAAACACAAAUGGUUAUUUUUUCAGCAGGAUCAGUUCCCUGACCUGGCUCAUCAUGCAGCCCUGUGAACAGCUGAGCUGGCAUAGUGCAGAAGAUGGUGCAAGGAGAGGAUAAAGUGGCUAUGAGUACCCCACUGCUGCUUAGGGAAACACAGCCAUAGUUACCUCUCCCAUGGUCCAAGGAUUUUAUAACUGAUGAUCUGUAUGCAAGGUCUUUUCCAAGGACAGAUCUUACCAUUAAGGAAUUAACAGAGUACCAAAAGCAAGCAUUAACAUAACUAACUAUAUCUGAACACAGUUUUCAGAAUGAUGUCCUCUUCUGGGCCCUCAGUGGGUUGUGACAGAAAAAGGUAGAUGAAGACCUUAUGGCAGCCACAUUCCUCUGUCUCCUGUUAAUACAAGUCUUAUCACCAAAGCUAUGAAGAACAGGCACUCCUGUAGUGGUGGCACAAAAUAAUUUCACAGUUGCUGUGUGAGAUUGUCUGAACACCUUGCCAGAUCUCAUGGGAAAGCUUUUUAAUAUAACUGAGCUUUUCUUAUCACUCUUGUUAUACAAUUCCAGUGAGAAUCUGAGUUUUUACUGGAAUAAAAAUACUAAA